UGCUUGCAUUCACCGUAAGAAGUUGAGUGGCGGACGGGUGAGUAACACGUGGGUAACCUGCCUAAAAGAAGGGGAUAACACUUGGAAACAGGUGCUAAUACCGUAUAUCUCUAAGGAUCGCAUGAUCCUUAGAUGAAAGAUGGUUCUGCUAUCGCUUUUAGAUGGACCCGCGGCGUAUUAACUAGUUGGUGGGGUAACGGCCUACCAAGGUGAUGAUACGUAGCCGAACUGAGAGGUUGAUCGGCCACAUUGGGACUGAGACACGGCCCAAACUCCUACGGGAGGCAGCAGUAGGGAAUCUUCCACAAUGGACGCAAGUCUGAUGGAGCAACGCCGCGUGAGUGAAGAAGGUCUUCGGAUCGUAAAACUCUGUUGUUAGAGAAGAACACGAGUGAGAGUAACUGCUCAUUCGAUGACGGUAUCUAACCAGCAAGUCACGGCUAACUACGUGCCAGCAGCCGCGGUAAUACGUAGGUGGCAAGCGUUGUCCGGAUUUAUUGGGCGUAAAGGGAACGCAGGCGGUCUUUUAAGUCUGAUGUGAAAGCCUUCGGCUUAACCGGAGUAGUGCAUUGGAAACUGGAAGACUUGAGUGCAGAAGAGGAGAGUGGAACUCUAUGUGUAGCGGUGAAAUGCGUAGAUAUAUGGAAGAACACCAGUGGCGAAAGCGGCUCUCUGGUCUGUAACUGACGCUGAGGUUCGAAAGCGUGGGUAGCAAACAGGAUUAGAUACCCUGGUAGUCCACGCCGUAAACGAUGAAUGCUAGGUGUUGGAAGGGUUUCCGCCCUUCAGUGCCGCAGCUAACGCAAUAAGCAUUCCGCCUGGGGAGUACGACCGCAAGGUUGAAACUCAAAGGAAUUGACGGGGGCCCGCACAAGCGGUGGAGCAUGUGGUUUAAUUC
rnacentral:rRNA from 1 species